GGCGAACGGGUGAGUAACACGUUGGUGACCUGCCCCGAGGUGGGGGAUAACUCCUCGAAAGAGGAGCUAAAACCCCGGAUGUCUGAGGCGUUAGAGGCUUCAGACUAAAACUGAGGUGUCUCGGGAGGGGCCUGCGGGCUAUCAGCUAGUUGGUGAGGUAAAGGCUCACCAAGGCGCAGACGGCUAGGGGGCGUGAGAGCGUGACCCCCCACAAGGGAACUGAGAGACUGUCCCUACUCCUACGGGAGGCAGCAGUGAGGAAUAUUGAGCAAUGGGCGCAAGCCUGACUCAGCAACGCCGCGUGGACGAUGACGGCCUUCGGGUUGUAAAGUCCUUUUCUGAGGGACGAUGACGACGGUACCUCAGGAAGAAGUCCCGGCUAACUACGUGCCAGCAGCCGCGGUAAAACG
rnacentral:rRNA from 1 species